rnacentral:rRNA from 1 species
ACGUAGGGGGCAAGCGUUGUCCGGAAUUAUUGGGCGUAAAGAGCUCGUAGGCGGCUUAGUAAGUCGGCUGUGAAAUACCGGGGCUCAACCCCGUAACUGCAGUCGAUACUGCUGUGGCUAGAGUCUGGUAGAGGAGAAUGGAAUUCCCGGUGUAGCGGUGGAAUGCGCAGAUAUCGGGAGGAACACCAGUAGCGAAAGCGGUUCUCUGGGCCAGUACUGACGCUGAGGAGCGAAAGCGUGGGCAGCAAACAGGAUUAGAUACCCUGGUAGUCCACGCUGUAAACGUUGGGUACUAGGUGUGGCGAUCUGAUCAACGAUUGCCGUGCCGAAGCUAACGCAUUAAGUACCCCGCCUGGGUAGUACGGCCGCAAGGCUA